rnacentral:rRNA from 1 species
CCUACGGGUGGCAGCAGUGAGGAAUAUUGGUCAAUGGACGAGAGUCUGAACCAGCCAAGUAGCGUGCAGGAUGACUGCCCUAUGGGUUGUAAACUUCUUUUAUAUGGGAAUAAAACGUUCCACGUGUGGGAUUUUGUAUGUACCAUAUGAAUAAGGAUCGGCUAACUCCGUGCCAGCAGCCGCGGUAAUACGGAGGAUCCGAGCGUUAUCCGGCUUUAUUGGGUUUAAAGGGAGCGUAGGUGGAUUGUUAAGUCAGUUGUGAAAGUUUGCGGCUCAACCGUAAAAUUGCAGUUGAAACUGGCAGUCUUGAGUACAGUAGAGGUGGGCGGAAUUCGUGGUGUAGCGGUGAAAUGCUUAGAUAUCACGAAGAACUCCGAUUGCGAAGGCAGUUCACUGGACUGCAACUGACACUGAGGCUCGAAAGUGUGGGUAUCAAACAGGAUUAGAUACCCCUGUAGUC